UACGUAGGGGGCGAGCGUUGUCCGGAUUUAUUGGGCGUAAAGAGCUCGUAGGCGGUUUGGUAAGUUGGAUGUGAAAUCUCCAGGCUCAACUUGGAGGGGUCAUUCGAUACUGCCAUGACUAGAGUUCGGUAGGGGAGUGUGGAAUUCCUGGUGGAGCGGUGAAAUGCAUUGAGAUCGGAAAGAACACCAACGGCGAAAGCACUCUGCUGGGCCGACACUGACACUGAGAGACGAAAGCUAGGGGAGCAAAUGGG
rnacentral:rRNA from 1 species